CACAGUGAAUUCUAAACUUGACUAAAACUCUCUGCUAAUGUUUCUUAAAUUGAGAUAUAACUUCUCAAUGCAAGGUCAACAUUCAUCCAUCAUAUUAAAAAAAAUAACAGCUAAAAUAACUGACUCGAAUAUAACUAUUAUUGUUGAUUAGAGUAGGCAUGCAGAUGAAAGUGAGACACAAACUAAAGAUUCACAAUGCAUAAAACUCAUAUCAUUGACCAUGUGUUUGACAAUGGAUAUUUAAACAUGCAAUAAGAUACCAUAUAAACA